UUUUAAAUUGAGAGUUUGAUCCUGGCUCAGGACGAACGCUGGCGGCGUGCCUAAUACAUGCAAGUCGAGCGAGCU
rnacentral:rRNA from 1 species